rnacentral:sRNA from 1 species
AAAUUAGCAUGGCCCCAGCUCAAGGAUGACAUGCAAAUUCGUGAAGAGAUCCAUAUUUUU